AUUGAACGCUGGCGGCAGGCCUAACACAUGCAAGUCGAGCGAGCGGCGGAGGGGUGAGUAAUGUCUGGGAAACUGCCCGAUGGAAGGGGACAACUACUGGAAACGGUAGCUCAUACAGCAUAUCAUCAGAUGUGCCCAGAUGUGAUUAGCUAGCAGGUGGGGUAACGGCUCACCUAGGCGACGAUCCCUAGCUGGUCUGAGAGGAUGACCAGCAAUAUGGGAACUGAGACACGUGCCAGACUCCUGAGGGAGGCAGCAGUGGGGAAUAUGGCACAAGGGGCGCACGCCUGAUGCAGCAAUGCGGCGUGAGUUAAGAAGGCCUUCGGGUUGUAAAGCACUUUCAGCGGUGAGGCGUUACCCGAAGAAGAAGCACCGGCUAACUCCGUGCCAGCAGCCGCGGUAAUAC
rnacentral:rRNA from 1 species